GCCUCUAUAGCUCAGUGGUUAGAGCUCUAGUCUUAAAAACCAGGGGUCGAGAUUUCAAAUCUCACUGGAGGCU
rnacentral:tRNA from 1 species